GAGUGUUAUCAAUUACCAUGUAAUAUAUAGGAGUAUUGUGUAGUACCUACUACCUAAAUACCUAAUCUAAGUUAUACACGGUAAACAUUAUUUCCUACUUAUGUAAAAUAAUUAUAUUAUUAUAUUAAAGGUUACGCCAGUGGUAGAGCCAUUAGUAGGGCAUUUUCAGAUUGGGCCAUGACACCACCACUGCUUAUUGAGGUCCAACUGUUCAUAGUA